rnacentral:rRNA from 1 species
UACGUAGGGGCUAGCGUUAUCCGGAAUUACUGGGCGUAAAGGGUGCGUAGGUGGUUUCUUAAGUCAGAGGUGAAAGGCUACGGCUCAACCGUAGUAAGCCUUUGAAACUGGGAAACUUGAGUGCAGGAGAGGAGAGUGGAAUUCCUAGUGUAGCGGUGAAAUGCGUAGAUAUUAGGAGGAACACCAGUUGCGAGGGCGGCUCUCUGGACUGUAACUGACACUGAGGCACGAAAGCGUUGGGAGCAAACAGGAUUAGAUACCCUGGUAGUCCCUGAG